rnacentral:lncRNA from 1 species
AUUAGUAGAGAUGGGGUUUUUGAUGAGAGCUCAGUCCUCCAAAUGCGAGAAGGCAUGGAAGUUCAGUAGUAACAGCAGGUGGUCCAGUUGGGUAGUGGUGGACAACUAACCUCUUAUUCAAUUUUGUCUUUUGCAGGUACUCCUGGAGGACAUGACAAUCAGGUGGAGCACUCCCCAAAGGUGUCCCCACUGAUGGAGAGGGAACAGAUAGGUGGAGAAAGCCAGGAGGUCCAGUAGGAGGAAGCUGGAUCUAGGACAGACAUUAGGGUUGCACUGCACAAGCUCAAGAAAAAUGUGCGGCAACCAGCGUGAUAUGGCUUCAAGGAGUCUGUAUCACAUGCCCUAGUGACUAUGAAUGGAGACUUAUAUACCUAUUAGGAGGC